rnacentral:lncRNA from 1 species
GUUUAAUAUAGCACAUAUAUAUGUCACACACACACACACACCCUUUUCAUGUUUCCUUACUCUAAUACUAUAUGAAAUUCAGGAAGGAAGACAGGUUAUAUGUUUAUUAAAUCUGUUUGGUUUUCUGCAGUAAAUAUUAACAGACUGAAACACCAGACUUUCCAAUGAGGCAGAUCUGGAUUUGAAUCUCACCUCAGCCACUUGAUCAUCAUGAUUAUACCUUGGAAGAGUUAGUUAAUACUCGAAACCUCAGCUUUCUUUUUCAUAAAAAAGGAUAGUAAGGAGUAAAUAACAUACAAAUGCUCUGAUAACUGCAAGUAUCCUCUCAAUUAUAGUAUCUUUCUAAUUUAUCUGAAUUCAUUUGGAUUCUUUAGACCUACCUUUUGAAGAAUUAAAGUAUUUUUUAAUUAAGAAAACUCAAUGUUAGGAAGGCUAAGUGACUUGCCCAAAGCCACAUAGAUAGCAAGUAGUAACACCAGAUUUGGUUGGAUCCAACCAUUCUGUCUCUUGAACCAGUGAUCUUAACUACUUUACUAGGCUAACUUUUUAAUAAAGAGAUUUAAAAACAACAACAACAGGAGAAAGAACAGUCUCUUCAUCAAAUAGUACUGGGAAAUCUGGACAUCCACAUGAAAAAGAAUAAAGUUGGACCUUUACGUCACACUGUAUACAAACAUUAACUCAAAAAAGACCAAUAACCUAAAUGUAAGAGCUAAACCUUAGAACACAUAGAAGUAAAUCUUUAUGACCUGGGAUUUGGCAUUACAUUCUUAAAUAUGACAUUAAAAGCAUAAAGAACAAAAGAAAAAAAAGAUAAAUUGGACUUGGUGAAAAUUAAAAAUUUUAUGCAUUAAAGAACAUUAUUAGGUGAAAAGACAACCUAUAGAAUAAGAGAAAAUAUAUGCAAACAAUAUAUCUGAUAAGAGUUUGGUAUGCAGAAUAUAUAAAAAAUUCUUAUAACUCAAGAAACGAGAUACAAACAACCCAACUUUUAAAUGAGCUAAAGGCUUGAACAGACGUUUUGCCAAAGAAGAUACACAAAUGGCCAAUGAACACAUAAAAAGUGUGCUCCACAACAUUAGUCCUAAAGAAAAUACUACUACUUCACAUGUAUUAGAAAGGAUAAUUUUUUAUGAAAGGAAAAUAACAAGUGUUAAUGAAGAUGUGAAAAUUGGAACCCUUGCAUAUUGCUCGUCGGAAUGUAAAAUGGUUUGGUUACUAUGCUUAACAGUUUGGUGAUUCCUCAAAAAGUGAAACAUCAAAUUACUGUAUGACCUAGUAAUUCCACUCUUAGAUCGAAAGAAGUGAAAUAAGUAUUCAAACAAAUACUUCUACAUGAAUGUUCACAGCAUUAGUAACAUUAGCCAAAAGGUGGAAAUAACCCAAACGAUCACAAAGAGGUGCACAGAUAAACAAACGGUGGUAUAUAAAUACAAUGGAGUAUCAUGUAGCUAUCAAAAGAAAUGAAGUACUGAUACAUACUACAACAUGCGUGAACCUCAAAAACAUUAUGGUAAGCGAAGAUGCCAGAUAGAAAGGGUCACAAUUUAUAAUUACAUUUAUAUGAAAUAUCAGAGGUAAUUCCAUACAGACAGAACAAAUUGGUAUAUGGCAGGGGUUGGGGAGAAGAGACAAUGGUUAAGUCACUGCUUAAUGGUUACAGGAUUUUAUUCUAAGGUGAUGAAAAUGUUUUAGAACUAGAUACAGGUGGUGGUAACACACCAUUGUGAACUGCUUAAUGGGUACAGGAUUUUAUUUUGAGGUGAUGAAAAUGUUUUAGAACUAGAUACAGGUAGUGGUAACACACCAUUGUGAAUGAAUGUACUAAAUGCCACUGAACUGUUCACUUUAAAAUGGUUAAUGUUAUAUGAAUUUAACUUCAAUUAAAACAUCAAAGCCAAAAAUCUUUAUCUUUUUUAGGAUAAUUAUAGUUAUUCUAUAGUUAUAAUAGUUACAGUUAAUAGUUACUACAGUCAUAUUGAUAAAACUAAUCAACCACAAUUACUUUCUGAAUAAAAGCUAAAAUAAGAUGUCAAAGCUCCUAUAUCCUACCUACAAGACAUCUAUCGUAUCUCCUU